rnacentral:rRNA from 1 species
CCUACGGGUGGCUGCAGUGGGGAAUAUUGGACAAUGGGGGCAACCCUGAUCCAGCCAUGCCGCGUGUGUGAAGAAGGCCCUCGGGUUGUAAAGCACUUUCAGUGAGGAAGAACGCCUGGUGGUGAAUACCCAUCAGGAAAGACAUCACUCACAGAAGAAGCACCGGCUAACUCCGUGCCAGCAGCCGCGGUAAUACGGAGGGUGCGAGCGUUAAUCGGAAUUACUGGGCGUAAAGCGCGCGUAGGUGGCUUGAUAAGCCGGUUGUGAAAGCCCCGGGCUCAACCUGGGAACGGCAUCCGGAACUGUCAAGCUAGAGUGCAGGAGAGGAAGGUAGAAUUCCCGGUGUAGCGGUGAAAUGCGUAGAGAUCGGGAGGAAUACCAGUGGCGAAGGCGGCCUUCUGGACUGACACUGACACUGAGGUGCGAAAGCGUGGGUAGCAAACAGGAUUAGAUACCCCAGUAGUC